CUACGGCCAUAUCACGUUAAAACACCGAUUCUCGUACGAUCACAGAAGUUAAGAUACGCUGAACCUGGUCAGUACCUAGGUGGGCGACAAUGGGUGAAUAACAGGU